GAUGAACGCUGGCGGCGUGCCUAAUACAUGCAAGUCGAGCGAACAGACGAGGAGCUUGCUCCUCUGACGUUAGCGGCGGACGGGUGAGUAACACGUGGAUAACCUACCUAUAAGACUGGGAUAACUUCGGGAAACCGGAGCUAAUACCGGAUAAUAUAUUGAACCGCAUGGUUCAAUAGUGAAAGACGGUUUUGCUGUCACUUAUAGAUGGAUCCGCGCCGCAUUAGCUAGUUGGUAAGGUAACGGCUUACCAAGGCAACGAUGCGUAGCCGACCUGAGAGGGUGAUCGGCCACACUGGAACUGAGACACGGUCCAGACUCCUACGGGAGGCAGCAGUAGGGAAUCUUCCGCAAUGGGCGAAAGCUUGACGGAGCAACGCCGCGUGAGUGAUGAAGGUCUUCGGAUCGUAAAACUCUGUUAUUAGGGAAGAACAAAUGUGUAAGUAACUAUGCAUGUCUUGACGGUACCUAAUCAGAAAGCCACGGCUAACUACGUG
rnacentral:rRNA from 1 species